UGGCUCAGUUGGUAGAACAUGGUGUUUGCAACGCCAGGGUUGUGGGUUUGAUUCCCAC
rfam:Salmo salar isolate Sally breed double haploid chromosome ssa01, whole genome shotgun sequence.